rnacentral:tRNA from 2 species
GUUGAUGUAGCUUAACUAAAGCACGGCACUGAAGAUGCCGAGAUGGGCCCUAAAAAGCCCCAACAACA